rnacentral:rRNA from 1 species
AUUGAACGCUGGCGGCAUGCUUUACACGUGCAAGUCGAACGGUAACAGGGUGCUUGCACCGCUGACGAGUGGCGAACGGGUGAGUAAUGCGUCGGAACGUGCCGAGUAGUGGGGGAUAACGCAGCGAAAGAUGUGCUAAUACCGCAUACGUACUGAGGUAGAAAGUGGGGGACCUUCGGGCCUCACGCUAUUCGAGCGGCCGAGGUCUGAGUAGCUAGUAGGUGAGGUAAAGGCUCACCUGGGCGGCGAUCAGUAGCGGGUCUGAGAGGAUGACCCGCCACACUGGGACUGAGACACGGCCCAGACUCCUACGGGAGGCAGCAGUGGGGAAUUUUGGACAAUGGGCGAAAGCCUGAUCCAGCCAUGCCGCGUGUCUGAAGAAGGCCUUCGGGUUGUAAAGGACUUUUGUCAGGGAGGAAAUCCCUAGUGCUAAUAACACUGGGGGAUGACAGUACCUGAAGAAUAAGCACCGGCUAACUACGUGCCAGCAGCCGCCGUAA